GACGAGGGUCCAAGCGUUAUCCGGAUUUACUGGGCGUAAAGCGCGCGUAGGCGGCCCAGUAAGUCCGUUGUAAAAGUCAAAGGCUCAACCUUUGAAAGCCGAUGGAUACUGCUGGGCUAGAGUCCGGAAGAGGCGAGUGGAAUUCCUGGUGUAGCGGUGGAAUGCGCAGAUAUCAGGAGGAACACCGAUAGCGAAGGCAGCUCGCUGGGACGGUACUGACGCUGAGGUGCGAAAGCGUGGGGAGCGAACAGG
rnacentral:rRNA from 1 species